GGCACCAUGAAAUCCCCUUGCCAGCUUGCCCCAUCACUAAGGUAUGUCAUUUGUUUAUGGGUCAAAAUAGCUACGCCAUGGAAAUUUCUGCCAAGAUAUCAUUGUCGUGGUCAGUGGUUCCUCUUUCCUUGGCCUCCAAGUUAUACUACUUGGUCUUUGGUCAAAGACCGUGCUCUUCCAUGAACCAGGAGGCAUCUCCGUGCUCUGGAGAAAGUAAGUGGAGAGUAUGAUGUACUUUGUCGUCUAUAAAAAGCCUCCGAGUUAAACAAGAGACACGAGUUCUCAUCAGAGUUGUAGACAUGGCCUCUAGCUUUUCUUGCAUGCCUGUGCUCCACAAGGUCUUCCCCGUGAAACCAUCGGCGCAAGCAUCGAAGGGAGAGGCGAGUAAGAAGACCGAGGUGAACGAGGAGAGACAGCAGCAGCAGAAGAAGAAGAAGAAGAGCAACCUGGAGCAAGCUGCUUUGACGACGCCGUACUUGCCAUUUCACAUGCGACCGGGGCUUCGUUGAGCCACGGACAGCCGGCGGGACGGCUGUGUGCUCGGAAUAGGGAUGGACGAUAUCUUGUGCUGAUUCCUUUGUUCUUUCAUAUUUCGAUUAGUAAUAUUCCAUGUAGCAGUUGCUCCACAAGAAAUAUAUCUUCAUCGUAGAGAGAUUCCGGUGUCCUUCCUUCUUCUACUAACCAGUCGUUAGAAAGAUCCGAAAGACGAUGGAUUCCUCAAAAAGAGAAAGCCGGAACGACCGAUUUCCCAUUAUAUAUAUUUGAGAUUGAUGUAAAGAUGAUCACGUAGUAUCAAUCUCCGUCUCUCUUCCUUGAAGGAAGAGGAUCAAUCAAGCUAUUUGCAACUGGAACACUCAAGCUGGCCGUUUGAAUCAGCUCACGGUCUUCAUCAUAUUGUCUGAAUCGUAAACGGAACCGAUUAUGAAUCAGAGUCAGAACCGAUGGUUUCGAUUCUAUGAUCGAAAAAAAUUAAUAUUAAAUAUUAAUAAAAUAAUAAUAAUUUGAUUUUUGUUAUUUUUGGUUCUGAGGAAAUCAAUCAUUAUGAUAGAAUCAAAAAUAAAAUUAAUUUAAUUUUUCAUGGAAUCAAAACUGUCCUUUCGACAAUCAUAUGGUAUGGGUUAUACUGAACAGAGAUAUUAUGAAAAAAUAAAAAAUAUAGAAAAUCAAAUGGAAG
rnacentral:lncRNA from 1 species